CAAAGACUCGAUGGUUCACG
rnacentral:siRNA from 1 species